rnacentral:rRNA from 1 species
CAAUAGCGUAUAUUAAAGUUGUUGCGGUUAAAAAGCUCGUAGUUGGAUUUCUGCCGAGGACGACCGGUCCGCCCUCUGGGUGAGUAUCUGGCUCGGCCUGGGCAUCUUCUUGGAGAACGUAGCUGCACUUGACUGUGUGGUGCGGUAUCCAGGACUUUUACUUUGAGGAAAUUAGAGUGUUUCAAGCAGGCACACGCCUUGAAUACAUUAGCAUGGAAUAAUAAGAUAGGACCUCGGUUCUAUUUUGUUGGUUUCUAGAGCUGAGGUAAUGAUUAAUAGGGAUAGUUGGGGGCAUUCGUAUUUAACUGUCAGAGGUGAAAUUCUUGGAUUUGUUAAGGACGGACUACUGCGAAAGCAUUUGCCAAGGAUGUUUUCAUUGA